AUAUAGCAUAGGCAAACCUUCUGAAAAGUGGGGACGCAAAGCCACGGGUCUAAGACAAUUUGUUAAGAUAGCCAGGUUGCAAAG
rnacentral:ncRNA from 1 species